rnacentral:rRNA from 1 species
AACGAACGCUGGCGGCAGGCUUAACACAUGCAAGUCGAGCGCCCCGCAAGGGGAGCGGCAGACGGGUGAGUAACGCGUGGGAACGUGCCCUUUGGUUCGGAACAACUCCGGGAAACUGGAGCUAAUACCGGAUAAGCCCUUCGGGGGAAAGAUUUAUCGCCAAAGGAUCGGCCCGCGUCUGAUUAGCUAGUUGGUGAGGUAAAGGCUCACCAAGGCUACGAUCAGUAGCUGGUCUGAGAGGAUGAUCAGCCACAUUGGGACUGAGACACGGCCCAAACUCCUACGGGAGGCAGCAGUGGGGAAUCUUGCGCAAUGGGCGAAAGCCUGACACAGCCAUGCCGCGUGAAUGAUGAAGGUCUUAGGAUUGUAAAAUUCUUUCACCGGGGACGAUAAUGACGGUACCCGGAGAAGAAGCCCCGGCUAACUUCGUGCCAGCCGCCGCGGUAACAC